AUAAAACACUCUCUUGAGACAAAUACUAUUAUUUUACCGGAUGCCGUGUGCUUUUCGCGUAUUAUUAUACUGAACUUUCCUUCUUGGCUUCUUAGGAAACCCUACUGGGACUCUCCUUCCCUUUUUGGCCAGAUAAUCUCGACGCAGUGGUCGACAACUCCGGUGACCUAGCGGAAGUCAACUUAGCAAGUCUAAGGAAACCAUGGAUGAGUAUCAGAAAAUUGUAUUUGAGCUAGCAAUUAUAAUUAUAGCAAAGUUUCUUUUAGGGGAAGAAGGGGAUGCACAAAGAUGGAAAGCUGGCUGGGUAGCAGGCACUGCAGCCUAUGCCAUUUUUUAUCACUCGAUUAAGAUUUUCGUAAGAAUGAAAAGAGACCAAGUUGCUCUACGGGAUGAUGCAGAAGUUUGGGCUUUCAUAUUUAAACAUAUUUCACAGUUUUUAAUUCCUCUUUCAUAUUCUUCACUUGCAUAUGAUUAUUUGAUGGGGAUAGAAAAGAAUUGGAAAAUGGUUGCAGUUGGUAUUAGAAUGUUCACUCUUGUAGUAGGAAGCCUGCUAGUAUUGGGUGCUUGCAAAAUAUGUUAUUCGGCAGCUGAUGACCAGAAUCAGAUAAUCGCGAUUCAAACAAAUAUGGAGAAUCAAUCUGUUGCAAAUCAUGUUUUGGGACUGGGACAGAAUGUGGAGGAUCAAUCAUUUGCACCGGAGAUGAUAGAAGUGGAUGUGGAUGAUCACUCAUACUGCAAGAAAUCAGCCGGGCUCAAGUCACGGAAGUCCCACUACCAGCCCAGCUAAAGAACCAACAACUCAUAUAUUGUACACUUGAAGAGGCCGAAAGGGUGAAACAGGGAUUGCAUUGCAUAAAAGAGAAGGCGAACUGGGAACACUGAAAUAGAGAAGGCUUGAUAUUGAGGAGGUGAACAUUCCAGGGGUAUGUUGAUUGUAUUGAGUUGUUAUUUGGGAGGCCGCCACUGCUCCAACUGUGGUAUCUUGUAAGGAAACUGAGUAUAAGUAUAUAAGGUAGCACUCCAUAGCAUACCCUCCUAUAUGGAGUUACGUAGCACACCAUUAUAAAUAUAUACAUAAUAUAUAUUCUGUUAUAUUUUUUAUGAAAUAUAA